rnacentral:rRNA from 1 species
GUGGGGAAUAUUGGGCAAUGGGGGCAACCCUGACCCAGCGACGCCGCGUGAGGGAAGACGGCCUUCGGGUUGUAAACCUCUUUUGUACGGGAAGAAGGAAGUGACGGUACUGUACGAAUAAGUCCCGGCUAACUACGUGCCAGCAGCCGCGGUAAUACAGAGGUCUCAAGCGUUGUUCGGAAUUAUUGGGCGUAAAGGGCGCGUAGGCGGGAAGGUGUGUCGACCUGUAAAUCUAUCGUUUCAAGCGGUAGGCUUGGGUUGAAACUGCCUUUCUAGAGGAUUUCAGGGGAGUUUGGAAUUUACGGUGUAGCAGUGAAAUGCGUGGAUAUCGUAAGGAAGGCUUGUGGCGAAGGCGAAACUCUGGGGAAUACCUGACGCUGAGGCGCGAAAGCGUGGGGAGCAAACAGGAUUAGAAACCCCAGUAGUCC